CCUAAUUAUGGGAAAUGCCAUGAUUUAAGGAUUGUGAAAAAAGUACGAAAGGAGAGAUCCAGUUGUUUCAAAUCUGUUUAGGGUUGGGGCUGAUUGAUUUUUUUCUAUACUUUUUUUCAGGCUAAAGAAGAUGAUUUUGAGAAAUUUGAUUGUGUUGCUUUUAUAAAUGCUGCAGAGAACUUUUUGACAUUAGAAGCAUUUCGGAAGUUUCCAGGACUGCGGAAACUGGAACUUUCCUUGAAUGGRCUAAGAAAUCUGAAAAUUACUGCUGGAGACUUCCUGCAUUUGGAAGAAUUGUUUGUGGCUCGGCUGUUGGCUCCUUGGUCUCUGACAGUGUGGCUCCCUGUGCUGCUGUGAUCCUGGCCUCCCUCCUGCUUGCAGGYUUUGGGAGACCCUAAACCCCUUGAAAC
rnacentral:lncRNA from 1 species